UACGGGGGGGGCAAGCGUUGUUCGGAAUUACUGGGCGUAAAGGGCUCGUAGGCGGCCAACUAAGUCGGACGUGAAAUCCCCAGGCUCAACCUGGGAACUGCGUCUGAUACUGGAUGGCUUGAAUCCGGGAGAGGGAUGCAGAAUUCCUGGUGUAGCGGUGGAAUGCGCAGAUAUCAGGAGGAACACCGGUGGCGAAGGCGGGUCUCUGGGCAGUAACUGACGCUGAGGAGCGAAAGCGUGGGGAGCGAACAGG
rnacentral:rRNA from 1 species